rnacentral:rRNA from 1 species
UACGGGGGAUGCAAGCGUUAUCCGGAAUCAUUGGGCGUAAAGCGCCUGUAGGUUGUUUAAUAAGUCUGUUGUUAAAGCCUAGGGCUUAACCCUAGAAAAGCAAUGGAAACUAAUAGACUUGAGUAUGGCAGGGGUAGAGGGAAUUUCUAGUGUAGCGGUGAAAUGCGUAGAUAUUAGAAAGAACACCAGUGGCGAAAGCGCUCUACUGGACCAUUACUGACACUCAGAGGCGAAAGCUAGGGUAGCAAAAGGGAUUAGAUACCCCUGUAGUCCUAGCCGUAAACGAUGGAUACUAGAUGUUGUGUUAUCUCACAGUAUCGCAGCUAACGCGUUAAGUAUCCCGCCUGGGGAGUACGCUCGCAAGGGUG